UGGGGAAUAUUGCACAAUGGAGGGAACUCUGAUGCAGCGACGCCGCGUGAACGAAGAAGGCUUUCGAGUCGUAAAGUUCUUUUAUAUGGGAAGAUAAUGACGGUACCAUAAGAAAAAGCCCCGGCUAACUACGUGCCAGCAGCCGCGGUAAUACGUAGGGGGCUAGCGUUGUCCGGACUCACUGGGCGUAAAGGGUUCGCAGGCGGAAAUGCAAGUCAGGUGUAAAAGGCAGUAGCUUAACUACUGUAAGCAUUUGAAACUGCAUAUCUUGAGAAGAGUAGAGGUAAGUGGAAUUUUUAGUGUAGCGGUGAAAUGCGUAGAUAUUAAAAAGAAUACCGGUGGCGAAGGCGACUUACUGGGCUCAUUCUGACGCUGAGGAACGAAAGCGUGGGUAGCAAACAGG
rnacentral:rRNA from 1 species